AUGGAAACAGACUUCAUCCAACCAGACUUGGAUAAAAAACAUUCCACAGAGGCUGGUGCAGGCUCCUCCAUUUGGAACACAGUGAGCCUCUCUCUAAGAGGGGAAAUCUGUGCAGAGGAGAUAACAGGAGAUAACAGAUUCUGUUCAGUCCAGUUCAACAAACGGCAUGAAGUGAAGUGUUGGGGCCCGGGCCAGGCUCUGGAGGCCUGGCAGCAGGGACUGCGGUCUGGCGGAUGGCCCCACUACCGGGGGCAGAGCUGGUCCAGACGCCGCUGCAGCUCUACCGAUACCUGCUGCGCUGUUGCCGGCAGCUGCCCACCAAGGGCAUCCAGGAGCAUUACAAGCAUGCCGUCAGGCAGUAUAAAAACUGAGACUCCAGGGCGUGAAGAGUGCAGCUGCCUUGGAGACACUGACAUGGAGAGCCCUCGCUUCACCCAGCCCUAG
rnacentral:lncRNA from 1 species